GAGUUUGAUCCUGGCUCAGGAUGAACGCUAGCUACAGGCUUAACACAUGCAAGUCGAGGGGCAUCAGGAAGAAAGCUUGCUUUCUUUGCUGGCGACCGGCGCACGGGUGAGUAACACGUAUCCAACCUGCCCUUUACUCGGGGAUAGCCUUUCGAAAGAAAGAUUAAUACCCGAUAGCAUAAUGAUUCCGCAUGGUUUCAUUAUUAAAGGAUUCCGGUAAAGGAUGGGGAUGCGUUCCAUUAGGUUGUUGGUGAGGUAACGGCUCACCAAGCCUUCGAUGGAUAGGGGUUCUGAGAGGAAGGUCCCCCACAUUGGAACUGAGACACGGUCCAAACUCCUACGGGAGGCAGCAGUGAGGAAUAUUGGUCAAUGGGCGCUAGCCUGAACCAGCCAAGUAGCGUGAAGGAUGAAGGCUCUAUGGGUCGUAAACUUCUUUUAUAUAAGAAUAAAGUGCAGUAUGUAUACUGUUUUGUAUGUAUUAUAUGAAUAAGGAUCGGCUAACUCCGUGCCAGCAGCCGCGGUAAUACGGAGGAUCCGAGCGUUAUCCGGAUUUAUUGGGUUUAAAGGGAGCGUAGGUGGACUGGUAAGUCAGUUGUGAAAGUUUGCGGCUCAACCGUAAAAUUGCAGUUGAUACUGUCAGUCUUGAGUACAGUAGAGGUGGGCGGAAUUCGUGGUGUAGCGGUGAAAUGCUUAGAUAUCACGAAGAACUCCGAUUGCGAAGGCAGCUCACUGGACUGCAACUGACACUGAUGCUCGAAAGUGUGGGUAUCAAACAGGAUUAGAUACCCUGGUAGUCCACACAGUAAACGAUGAAUACUCGCUGUUUGCGAUAUACAGUAAGCGGCCAAGCGAAAGCAUUAAGUAUUCCACCUGGGGAGUACGCCGGCAACGGUGAAACUCAAAGGAAUUGACGGGGGCCCGCACAAGCGGAGGAACAUGUGGUUUAAUUCGAUGAUACGCGAGGAACCUUACCCGGGCUUAAAUUGCAGUGGAAUGAUGUGGAAACAUGUCAGUGAGCAAUCACCGCUGUGAAGGUGCUGCAUGGUUGUCGUCAGCUCGUGCCGUGAGGUGUCGGCUUAAGUGCCAUAACGAGCGCAACCCUUAUCUUUAGUUACUAACAGGUUAUGCUGAGGACUCUAGAGAGACUGCCGUCGUAAGAUGUGAGGAAGGUGGGGAUGACGUCAAAUCAGCACGGCCCUUACGUCCGGGGCUACACACGUGUUACAAUGGGGGGUACAGAAGGCAGCUAGCGGGUGACCGUAUGCUAAUCCCAAAAGCCUCUCUCAGUUCGGAUCGAAGUCUGCAACCCGACUUCGUGAAGCUGGAUUCGCUAGUAAUCGCGCAUCAGCCACGGCGCGGUGAAUACGUUCCCGGGCCUUGUACACACCGCCCGUCAAGCCAUGGGAGCCGGGGGUACCUGAAGUACGUAACCGCAAGGAUCGUCCUAGGGUAAAACUGGUGACUGGGGCUAAGUCGUAACAAGGUAGCCGUACCGGAAGGUGCGGCUGGAACACC
rnacentral:rRNA from 4 species